rnacentral:rRNA from 1 species
GACAGGGGAUGCAAGCGUUAUCCGGAAUUAUUGGGCGUAAAGAGCUCGUAGGCGGUGUGUCACGUCGGCCGUGAAAACCUGCAGCUUAACUGUGGGCGUGCGGUCGAUACGGGCAUCACUGGAGUUCGGCAGGGGAGACUGGAAUUCCUGGUGUAGCGGUGAAAUGCGCAGAUAUCGGGAAGAACACCUAUGGCGAAGGCAGCUCUCUGGGACGGUACUGACGCUGAGACGCGAAAGCGUGGGGAGCAAACAGG